AUUUGUUUGGAUAUGACUUAGAAUUAUCUGGACAUGUUAGGAUUUGGUUUGCAAACGAUGAGCGACUAUGCUAUUCUGUAGGGAAUAGUAUUUCUACGUGACAUUUUCUGGUUCAGCGAAGUGGAAAGCGUGACUUAUGACAUAUGAGCCAGAAGCUGCAAAACUAUCGCCCGCCGCUGCGAGCAGGGUUCGAACCUGCGCGGGGAAACCCCAUUGGAUUUCAAGUCCAACGCCUUAACCACUCGGCCAUCGCAGCUACACCAUAUAUGGCUUUCAGGGGGCGGGAAAGCCUAUUCCAAAUGGAUUUUCAGACAAAAGCCUUGUACAGAAGAAUUUGAGUGUUGAGUGCCGAAUUCAUUGAAGGUCCACACUGGCCCACCCAAUCACGACGUUAACCCACCCCAAGAAUGGGCAAACGCCAACCAAUCAGAUUUUUUCAUUAGUCUAAAUAGGAAUGAAGCAAGCCAAUUAUUAAGGAAUAUUCUUUGUAUUCCAUAGACAUGAAUGUCAAAACUGACCAAGUUAGAUUUUGCAAGGACAGGAGGGGCACAUGACGUCAAAUCCGCUUAUUUUUAUGUUGUUCAGAGAUGUGUCACGUAAAGGCAUUUAAGAAUCAAUGGAUAUCCUUCACAUGUUUGUUAUAAAAUACUUUAUAACAAAAUAACUGCUACAUGUUGGUGCUUCAAUAAAGUAUUAGUUUACGGGUGUGCACACUUAUACAACCAGCUUAUUGUAUGUUUUUUUAAUUUUUUAAAAAUAUUUUUCCUUCUAACAGAUUUGUUUGUUUUUCAGUUGAAUUGUACAGGUUGUAUGUCACAUUGAAGCUUGGAAACCCUGGCUUUUUUUUACAAAGGUGUGUAUUUUUUUAGCCAUUGUAUGUUGUUCCUGUUAAUUUAUAAGUGUUAUAAAAUACAACCCUGAGCUAACCCUUUUAGCACAUUUAAUGAGCCAGUUAAUAUGAAUAAAAGCAUAAAUAUCCUAGUCCCAUAAGUAUCAGAAACCCUGUAAUGCAACUUCUUAGUCAACUGUGUUACAAUUUGCCGAGACAGCAUAUUAUCGGGCCAUUUUACUGAUAAAUUUGAACGUUUUUUCAUAUUUGUUAUAAAUAAUGGAAUAAAAACUCUGGAUAUUUCUUGAUCUAGAGGAUAAUUGUUUUGUUUUAAGACUCCCAUGAAUGCAGUCAGAUAAAGUCUUAAAUUCAGAGAUUUCUAGAGAGCAGAUAUAGACAGAAUAUCCCCAGUGAUACAGCAGGUGGCACCACACAGUAAGCUAUUCGUGCUCCUGAUUCAGGGAUAUGUGACAGAUCGAGGCACACCGCUAAUACUCACUCUCUCCUUUUCUUUACUCCAUCUGGAAAUGUAUUUGUAUAUUCAUUUUAAUGACUCCUCAUGUGUAGAUAUGAAACUAUAUGAAAAUUUAGUAUCAAGAUAAUAGUGAUCAAAAUGAUCACAUUAUCAAUAUUGUGGUAUUGUUAAAACAUGCUGAAAAUGUUCAAAAUGUACUGAUACACAAACUGAGAAGUUUUAUGCACGCUGCACUUUUUGUUUGCAUAAACAUUAAAAUAAUAACAUUGCCAGUACCUUAGGUAAACAUACGAAAACCAUGUCAAAUGUGCAUUAACAUUAAACAUUUCCGGAGCAUUGUGAUUGCCUUCUGCCAUGUUUUCACUGACACAUAACAAACCCAGGUUACAUGCUCAAUGUGCGCGCCUGUGUCUAAGAGACUGUUGCUAACUUUGGUUGAUGCUGGACGAUAUUUAAUGUAAAGUUUUCAAAGCGUGGUAAUGAACCAUGGUUUUAAGGAUAAUUAAAAUUUGAAAUAGUAAUACUAACCGUCAGUAACCAUUUCAUCCCAGUUUAUAUCAUGGUCCUAUUAUUGUCAUGUCCCCGUUUGGCCAGCAGAGGUUGCUGGCCAUCCUGUAAUCACCUAGUUGUUCUCAGCUUAAUGUGAUGAUCACCCACACCUGCCUUUUGUUAGUCCCUCUUUAUCUGUGUAUAUAUGUGCCUGCUCUCUCUGUGUUCCCCAGCUCGAUCAUUGUUGCUCUUAUGGAUGUUUAGUGUUCUCUCUGCUUCUUGUGUUUCCUGUUCCUGCAGUGAUCCCUGUGGGCUGCUUCACACUGCUUCUGCCUCAUUGUUCCUUUCUGCUCUCUGUUUAGAACCCUCACGGUUCUUUGUUUUCUGGUUCUCUGUAUAUCUUCCCAAUAAAGCCCAUUUCUGCUCAGCCUAAAGCUGCAUCUGGGUUGUGCUUUCUCCGACAGACAUGAUAAUUAUGCUCUUAGCAGUGGCGUCAUGAUCUGUCUCCGUCAUCACCGUUCUGCUCCUGUUUGACCAGCAGAUGUCACUGCUGGCUGUGCCCUUUCUUUGGCAUUUAUUCCAGCAGUUUAUCAUGCCUUAUUAUGCGUUUAUUGUUAUUUCCCAUACCUGCCUCUCAGGU